GGUAGUGUGGCCGAGUGGUUUAAGGUGCUGGAUUUAGGCUCCAGUCUCUAUGGAGGUGUGGGUUCAAAUCCCACCCCUGCCA
rfam:Fukomys damarensis contig75821, whole genome shotgun sequence.